rnacentral:rRNA from 1 species
AACGAACGCUGGCGGCAUGCCUAACACAUGCAAGUCGAACGAGACCUUCGGGUCUAGUGGCGCACGGGUGCGUAACGCGUGGGAACCUGCCCUUAGGUUCGGAAUAACUCCCCGAAAGGGGUGCUAAUACCGGAUAAUGUCUUCGGACCAAAGAUUUAUCGCCUUUGGAUGGGCCCGCGUUGGAUUAGCUAGUUGGUAGGGUAAAAGCCCACCAAGGCGACGAUCCAUAGCUGGUCUGAGAGGAUGAUCAGCCACACUGGGACUGAGACACGGCCCAGACUCCUACGGGAGGCAGCAGUGGGGAAUAUUGGACAAUGGGCGAAAGCCUGAUCCAGCAAUGCCGCGUGAGUGAUGAAGGCCUUAGGGUUGUAAAGCUCUUUUACCCGGGAUGAUAAUGACAGUACCGGGAGAAUAAGCUCCGGCUAACUCCGUG